rnacentral:antisense_RNA from 1 species
GAUUCAUCCCAGGCCAGGCGAGUGGAAAAGUACCAGCCGCGCGCGAGGGGCGGGGGCGCGCCGAGGGGCGGAAAAGUACAGACGGCGGAGCCGCGGAGAACAAAGAUGAUGCCACCGCUGUGUUGCGGCCGUCGAGGCCCCCUACUCCGGCAGAUUUCAACCUGCUUUCACUCUUCAAAACUAGCCGGAGGUCGGCGAGCAGCUCCUUUUCGGGAUGUGCUUUUUGUACGGCCAUGGAAACUGGACUAGCGGAAAGGCUACCUUUUGGCCAGCAAGCCAGGCGCCUUAGAAAGAGGCCCCAGUGGGGAGCCCGGCGCUCCUAAGGCCGUUUGGGAGUCCCCAGUUUUCCAUUCGCUGACACGUUGCUUCUCUUAUCCCACCACCGCCGCCCCCGGCAAAGGCACUGCCUUGUCUGAAUGCGGGUCUGAGGCGCUUUCUGCGGAGCCUGGUCCUUUCCCUUCAAUGGUGAUGUGGUCUUGCUGAGCCAGGCAACUAGGGGGACCCUUCGCUGUGGAAAAAUUGGUGCUGCGGGAAAGGCAAGACUCACUCCCUUGCAGGAAACAAAGACCCCUUAGGAGAGAGAAAUGUUCAUGGAAUGAAUGAAUAAACAAGUUUGACCUA